GCCGGAAACCAGGGGUGCUCCGAUCCGGGGCUGAGAUGCGCGACGAUGCGCGAACCCUUCACAGCUGAUCCGGGUAAUGCCGGCGGAGCGAGGGAAAACAGAUGUUCA
rnacentral:ncRNA from 1 species